UGUGUCUGCCCUUCAGCGGGAGUGUGGGUCUGGACGUCAGCAAAGUUCAGCCUUCCUGGAUGCCACCGUAAGGAAUGAUAAAAUCGAAUCUAAUUUGGGCAAUCAGGGAAAGGGCAAAAACAGGAAGCUCUGGGGUCUUGCUAAACAUGUCAGUGAAGAGAGGAGUCUGUGGACUUUGUGGACUUUGCUACAGUUUCCCAGAGAGAAAUGAAAGUCAGGAAACGUUCACGUGCACAGACAGCCUCACCCCUGCUCCUCAGAGAUUCCCUGAUGAAUUCAUCCCACUUCUAACUCCAUUUUUCUUGCUAUGUUCUUUAGGGAGCUGGGAAGCAGGCUGCGGGGCUUCUGGCCUGAUUUCUGGGCUGUUUUUCUGUGCAGAUCAGAGAGGUCUGGAGGAAGGUAGUGGCCAGUCGAGUGUAUGCUCCCAGCUGCUGCUCAUCAUGCCCCAAAUGGGGGGGAACUGGCAAUCAGACUCUGAGGGAAAGCACACAUAGUGACAAGUACCAGGCCUCAUAAAAAAAUAAUAAUAAUAAAUUAAAAAAAAAAAACAACUCCUAUUAUUUUUGGCAGAUCCUAUUGAAAUGGUUACAUUUUCCAGGCCUCAGAAAACAAAGAUUUCACUUUCAAAACAAGUCCGCACAGAGCAGAACACUCCCUAAUGUGAUGUAGAUGGUAAGAAAUCAUUCAACACCCUGCGCGUUGAAGGCUUCUAGCUUCUAUCUCCCUUCUCCUCUCACCUUUCACAGAUGUGUGUAAUGAUAUAACCGGGGGCGGGUCCCUCUGUUCUGUCUCUUGCAGGUACUUGGGCAAUAACAAGAUGGUGGUUUCCAGAAUAAAUAAUGGAAGUUGCCAUCAUUAGAGAACAUAGGAUGUCAUAUGGAUGCCAAAGCGUUCAGGUCACCCUCUCCUUCGGUUUCAAAUGGUGGAAUAGUCACUGGAGCUGUGUUUAAAGAUCUCCUUUUCAUUUCCCUCGAUAUAUCAUCCUGAAUCCUGGGAAUGGCCUUCACUCCCAAGCCUACCUAUGUGGAUGAUAUUAAGUGUUUCCACAAACAGGGCAACGUCCCUGUUUGGCCUUCCCUUCUCCUUCACUGGCACAUGGCAUUGUACUCCACUGGUCACAAAGCCUCUACUUUGUCUACAGCCCUUCAGACAGAAGGAGAGACAGACCGGGGAGGCUGUCUGCUAAUCUCUUCAUAAGACAAAGUGCAGCCAGAGGAGGGAAGUAGAAAUUUCUGAAGAGGAAUCUGAUCAUGCGAAAGAGACUUUGCUAAAUUUUCCAAGAACCUCCUGUGUUUAGCAAAGUGUGUUGGUUAUGACACAGCUUCGUGAAACAGAAAACUCCCUCCAGUAGCUUUAAAUAAUAUGAACGCAGUGUCUUACAUAACCUGAAGUCCAGAGAUGGCUUGGGUUCCAGGAAAGAUACGGUUCAGUAAUACCCAGUAAUGUCAUUAAGGACAUAGGUCAUUUCUGUCCUUUCUUUCAUUCUGCAGUCCUCAGCACCAGCUUCAUGGGAAGGCUGGUUCUUCUCAAGGAAACAAGAUGGCGCCACUGGAUGUCAGGCUAGGCACUUCUUGUGCACACUCAUCAGGGAGGAGUGAGUGAAUGUGACCAUUCCCAAAGCCCUCUCCAUUAGUCCAGUUGCAUCAGAGUAAGUCAUACAUCCAUCACUGGCCCAAAAACAGCUGUCAGGAAAAUUCCAUGUGCUGAUUGGUGUGGAUCAAAGCAUUAUCAAUAUUUCUGACUGGAUUAUUGUUUGGGGGACUGUUCUGUGCAUUGUUGGAUAUUGAACAGCAUCCGUAGGCUUUUUAGCACAUCACCACCAUGAGUCAUGAGAAUUCCUGACAUUGAAAAUGUCCCUUGGUGGAGGUGCAUAAUAGAGUUCUUGCUAAACAUGGUGGGUAGAUCAUGUGAUCACUAUUCUGAAUUCCAUGAUAGGUCAGGGAGAUAUUUAAAAAUAAGCACAUCACAUAUACAUCUUCAAGGAUGAAAAACAGGAGGCAUCACUAAAUAAGAAACAUUGGAACAGAGAAAAGGAAGGAAACGAGAGGAUGAGUGCAAAAGUGUGUAGGAGAGAGAGAGAGAGAGAGAGAGAGAGAGAGAGAGAGAGGAAGUGGAAGAAAAAGCUAAGGUCUCUGCACAUAGGAAGUUGUAUUAGUCAGCAUGGCUGCCACUAAAAAAAGAAAAAAAAAAAAAAACUCUGCAAACUCUGAGGCUUAACCAACAGAAAUGCACUUCUAACAGUUAUGGGGGGUGGAAGCCCCAGAUCAAAGUGCUGGUCAAUUUGGUUCUGGUGGGGGCCCCCUUCCUGGCUCACAGACAGCUUCCUUCUCUUUGUGCCCUCAAAGGGCCACUCCUCAGUGCAUGCUCUGAGACAGCUCUGACACUCUUUCUUCUUUUCGUAAGGACACCAGUUCUAUCAGCCUAGGGACCAUAGAGACUACUCUUACAACUGACUUCAUUUAACCUUAAUUACCUCUUCAAAGUCCUUAUCUCCAAAUAUAGGUCCUGUUAGAGGUUGGAGAUUUGGCAUAUGAAUCUUGAGGGACAUGAUCCAGUUUAUAAUAGAAGUCAAUAGAAGCUAAAAAGGGGUAAAAUGGAGAAAUAGUGUAUUAUUUAGAAAAGUGGUGGUAAAAAAUAGCCAAGAGUUAGAGGAGACUUCCUGGGAACAAAAAUGGUUCAGAAGACUGAGGCAGGGAAUUGGAUUUUAUGUUGUAAACCUUUGAUUGCUAUCUGCCUUUUAAACAUGUUAAUAUAUAACCUUGGUUAAAAUAGAAAUAUGACUUAGUUUACAAUAAUAGUCAUGUCAGGCAUGGUGGCAGACACUUGUAAUCCCAGUGAGUAGGGAGGCUGAGGCAGAGGGUCACAACUUUAUAGCCAGCCUCAACAACUUAGUGAGGCCCAAAGCAACUAAGUGAAACCCUGUCUCAAACUUAAAAAAAUAAAAUAAAUGGGGUGGGAAUUGGUAAAGGCUCCUGGUUUCAAUACCCAGUAUCAAAAUAAUAAUAAUAAUAACAACAACAACAACAGUAAUAGUCAUUAUGGGUGAUGAUCAUUGUCUGCCUAUAAAACCCAAUUUUCUUCCAUGAAACUUUGCUUGAUUAAUUAAGGCUGGGAUGAAAAGGAAUGGAUUGAGUGACUUAUCAUUUAUUGUCCAAACUAGAGCUCUUCUGAGCAUGAAGGAAGCAUUAUUAGCAAUUCCAUGAAUUAAUCAGUGCAAAGUAAAACACCUCCAAAUAAACUGGAGUUUGUGGUAAGCCUUCUUGUGAGAUAAUCAGGGUCUGGCCUUGUAGCAUAAACCAUAAGGAAGAACUAUUUCAGUGAUACAAGGGUAAAAGUGCAGCCACCCUGCCAGCAUUUGUAGGGUAGCAAACAGGUCAUCUGAAGUGACAUCUACUCCACUGAGCAGCAAUAUCCAGAGAAGUGGUCCCUGACCCCUCUGCCAGUCUUCCUAACUAUCCUCGUCACAUCUUUAUUGAAGAACUCAAUACACCCCUUUGACACUGUGAUUUUUUUGCCUGUGUCUUUCCUUCUCCUUGAGACUCCCCCACCCCCGGACAAAAUUUCAGAAGACACAGGUUGUAUUAGUUUUGUCUUUGUUUCCCCAGAAUCUAACAUAGUAUAAUUAGUAGUAAGUGCUUAAAAUGUUUUUACUGAAUAAAUACUGAAUGAAAUUAUAGUAGGGACUAUAGAAGAUUUCUUUAAAAUAGAAAUGUAAGAAGAAAGUAAGCUAAUAUUUUCAGAAAUCCUUUAUAUGUCAAAUGGGAAAAGGAAAUAAAAUAUAUCUAGAAAGUUAACCAUGCAUGAGAUAAAAUAGCCUACUCAAAUUAUUUAUGUUUUAAAAUUAUUCUCAGAAAGUGUUCUAACCUUGUAGCUGCAGAGUACUUACUUUGCUAGUAUCCAUUGGAGAAUUAGACUUGCUUCUGCUGAUUUUACUUUAUUUUUUUGAGGGUGAACAGUUAGAUAGUGGCUACUCUUGCUAAAAAAUUAGAAGUAGGGCUAUAGGUAUAGAUCAGUGGUAGAGUGCUUGCCUGGCAUGCACAAGGCCCUGGGUUCAAUCUCUAGCACUGCCCCCCCCAAAAAAAGUAAAAAAAAAAUAUCAGAAAUUUUUAAAUAAUAGCCAUAUAACAAUCUGGGAUUAGAACUUCAGGUGGGAGUAUGUAUUGGGUAAAGAGUAGCAAAGCAGUUGUUGAAGUUGUAUGGUCAUUUGGAUAAGUACCAAGAGGAAUUUGAUAAAAAUCUUAGUAACAUGCCUAACAGAAGCUCUUAGUAAACUGAAUAUAGAAGACUGUUUCUUUACUACAUAACAGAACAUUAAUGUAGACCUAAUAGUUGAUGCCUUGUUCAAUAGUGAAAAAAUAAGCAUCUUCAUGUUAAAACCAGAAAAGAAUGUGAGGACUGACUCUCCUGAUGCUAAUUUAACAAGAUACCAUAGACUAGGUACAUUAGAAACUUAAAUAUAUAUAUGAAAAUAAACAACUAACUCUUGCAAAUAAAUGAUAUGACAACAAUAUAAUAUAAAAUGGACAGAACAUUUGAACAGACAUUUCACGAGGGGAGGUAGAUGAAUGGAUUCUAAAAAAUGCUUGCCAUUGCUAAAUAAAUCAAAGCCAUUCUAAGAUGUGAUACACACUUAUUGAAUGACUAAAUUUUAAAAAUCAACAUGUUAGUUUCCUUUUGUUGCUAUAAAAAAUCACUACAAACUUGGUGGCUUAAAAUGACAUAAACCUGUCAUAUGACAUUCUUGAGGUCAGAAAUUUGAAAUAGGGCUUACAGAGCUAAAAUCCAGGUGUCUGCAGAGCUGCAUUCUUCCUGGAGGCUUUUAGGGAGGCUAUUUCUUGACGUUUAGAGGCUUUGUUCUCUCAUUCCUUCCCUGGAAACCUCAGCAUGCUGACCUCUGUUUCCAUCCUCUCGUCUUCUCUGACUCUUCUACCUUCACCUUGCAUCUUUUAAGGACACUUAUAAUUUCAUUGGACCACUUAGAUAAUCCAGGAUAAUCUUCCCCUCUCAAGAUCCCUACCUCUAUCUACAAAGUCUCUUUGGCCAUGUGAUAACACGUUCACAUUUCACAGAUUAGGACAUAGACAUCUUUGGGAGCUAUCACCCACAAAUACCCACUGUUGGUGAGAAUGUGGCAAGGUUUAAUUUUAUGUGGCAACUUGACUGGACUACGGGAUACCCAGAUACCUGGAGAAAUAGUGUUUCUGUGUAUGCCAGUGAGGGUGCUUCCAGAAGACACUAACAUUUAAAUAGUUAGACUGAAUAACAAACAUUUUCACCUGUGUGGGCAGGCAUCACCAAUCUGUUGAGGGCCCAAAUAUUUCUGUUUGAGCUGAGAUAGGCCUCAUCUCCUACCCCUGGACAUCAGGGCUUCUGGUUCUUAAGCCUCUGACUCCAUUGUCUGACAGAGACAUACUAUCCCCUCGCCCUUGACCAGUUCUCAGACCUUUGGGCUUGAACUGAAUUAUGCCAUUGGGCUUUUUGAUUCUCUAGCUUGCAGAUGACUUCUCAGCUUCCAUAAUCACAAGAGCUUGAUUCCCAUAACGAGCCCCCCAUGCAUUAUAACAGAUGAAAAAAAUUCUUAUCAGUCAAUGAGGUUGUAGCUAUUGUAAGUCACAGUGCAAUGUGUUACAUGUUUAUGGUGAUACGGGUGUAAAAAAGCCUACUGUGCUGUUAGCUGUAUAAAAAUACAGUCCAUGCCACUAUGUACAUAACACCUGACAGUAAAGGACUGGUACUUUACUGGUAUUGGUUUAUGUUAUUUACUAUACUGUACUUUUUGUCAUUCUUUUAGUGGGUACUCCUUCUACUUAUUUUUUUUAAGUUUAUGAUUUUUUUUAAGUUUACAGUUUGCUGUAUUAUACCAGCAGCACCCUCAUACAUCUCCUGUUUACCAUGUCUCAUGAUUGCAUCAACAAACCCGUUGAGUAAUUGACCUACACCAUUUAGGUUUGUGUAAAUGCACCCUAGGAUAUUGAUACAACAACAAAAUUGCUUACAGAAGCAUUUCUUAGAAUGUAUUCUCAUUAUUUGUGUGUGUGCAUGUACAAUCUCCUAUUGGAGCUGGAGGUGUAAUUCAGUGGGAGAACACUCAUCUGGCAUGCAGGAAGCUGUGGGUUUGCUCCCCAGCAGAGCAUGUGCAUGCACGCGCACACAUACA
rnacentral:lncRNA from 1 species